AUACCAAACCUCGCGUUCAAAUCUGCUCGGUUGCACCCUUUGUUAACAUUAGAUUAAAUGUACUUUUUUUCUUUUGCUGCGCUAUUCGAUCUUACCAGCCACCGUGUCAUUCCUAGAUUGUUUUACUUAUUUCUUCCAUUUCAGAUCCUAUUGUCAGCGCUCCAUAUUUAUACGUGACGUACACAGUUUCCGAGGGGACACUUAAAGCAACAGUGGACUCUCAGAGUUCGUACCAUCCCGAGCCAUCGCUGAUGCUUUUGGAAGUGUUAGGUGUCCCAUCUGCUCCCAAUUCUGUUACCGUGAAUGGUAUUCCGAUUAAGAGUUUCUCUUACAGCGCCUCAACUAAGGUGGUCAAAGUAACCGGUCUCGACCUUCCCAUGGACAAAGGCUUCACUAUCCAGUGGUCAUGAACAAAUGACGCGAUCCGGAUAGGCAGUUACGAGAAGUGCGAAGAGUUAGAAUUAAUUUGCGAAACUGUGACGAAUUAAUUUUUUCCACAGUUUUAAAAAAAUUAUCCUGUUUUCAUGUCAUUGCAAUUUUCUCAAGUUGUCCUUACAUUGGGACAGAUUUUAAUCAAGCGGUCGUUCAGCAAAGACGGAUUUUCAAGUUGAAGCUCUGAUCCAUUUUCUAAUAUGUAGCGGCAGUUGAUCCGAAGUUAUCCGCCUGUUUAAAAUGGAAUUAAAAGUUUAUUAAUUGAAUUUACAAUUUUGGAAUUCCUACAGUAACGCAUCAGAUGCCGUGCUUAGGGAUGAGAUCUUGGCUCAUUUUCAUUGAUAUCAAAAGCCCCUUUCAGAAUUACCCUUGGCCUCUUUUUCAAAACGAGGCCUGGUGCUCAACCAUUCUUGUGAGUGAAAGUGAGUUUAAUUUGCUUGUGAAUGAAAACGUAAUAUCAAAUCAAAGGAUGAGCACCAGGACUCGUUUUGAAAAUGAGGCCAAGGGUAAUUCGGAAAUGGGCUAUUAAUAUUAUAAGCAUUUUUAUAACAAGAAAAAAUUUUUUUAAGAAAUGCGACAAUAUUGUGACUUAAAGUUAAUUGUCUAUUAGGUAGUGUUUUGACGUAGAGUUUUAAGGUUCGUUUAAAAAUGAAUGUUCAUUCACAAUUAUCAAAUAAAAAAAGUUGUUUGAGUGCAA